rnacentral:rRNA from 1 species
GAUGAACGCUGGCGGCGUGCCUAAUACAUGCAAGUCGAGCGAACGGACGAGAAGCUUGCUUCUCUGAUGUUAGCGGCGGACGGGUGAGUAACACGUGGAUAACCUACCUAUAAGACUGGGAUAACUUCGGGAAACCGGAGCUAAUACCGGAUGAUAUUUUGAACCUCAUGGUUCAAAAGUGAAAUACGGUCUUGCUGUCACUUAUAGAUUGAUCCGCGCUGCAUUAGCUAGUUGGUAAGGUAACGGCUUACCAAGGCAACGAUGCGUAGCCGACCUGAGAGGGGGAGGCGCGCCACUGAGAGUGAGACACGACAGAGACACUGAGAGGCGGCAGCGGCAGGGAAGUGUGCGAAAGGUGCGAAAUAUUGAACGAUCAACACCGGCCGAGUGAUGAAGGUCCUCGUAUCGGAAAAAGCUGUUAGGAUGGAAGACCACAUGCGUAAGGAACUAGGCACGUUGUGACGGUACCUAAAUAGAAAGCCACGGCUAACUACGUG